GAGGAUGUAGCUCAGUUGGUAGAGUGUUUGCCUCACAUGCAUAAGGCCUGGGGUUCAAUCCCCAGCAGUAUACACA
rnacentral:tRNA from 1 species